rfam:Schistosoma mattheei strain Denwood, Zambia genome assembly, scaffold: SMTD_scaffold0003516
ACACUUCCGAGGAGUCCCACAAUAGGACGAGAUGGCCGUCCAGUGU